ACCAGACUCCUACGGGAGGCAGCAGUGGGGGAUAUUGCACAAUGGGGGAAACCCUGAUGCAGCGAUGCCGCGUGAGUGAAGACGGCCUUCGGGUUGUAAAGCUCUGUCGCAGAGGACGAAAAUGACGGUACUCUGUAAGAAAGCUCCGGCUAACUACGUGCCAGCAGCCGCGGUAAUACGUAGGGAGCAAGCGUUAUCCGGAUUUACUGGGUGUAAAGGGGGCGCAGACGGCGAUGCAAGCCAGGAGUGAAAGCCCGGGGCCCAACCCCGGGACUGCUCUUGGAACUGCGUGGCUGGAGUGCAGGAGGGGCAGGCGGAAUUCCUGGUGUAGCGGUGAAAUGCGUAGAUAUCAGGAGGAACACCGGUGGCGAAGGCGGCCUGCUGGACUGCAACUGACGUUGAGGCCCGAAAGCGUGGGGAGCAAACAGGAUUAGAUACCCGCGUA
rnacentral:rRNA from 1 species